CAAUACCCGUAAUUCGUUAUCCGUAGGCCGACGAAGGCCGAAGGCCGAAGCCCAAACCCUUCGAAAACCCUUCUCCCGUCCUGCUCACUCCCGUCUCCGAGCGCCGCCGCCGCCAGCGCCGACACGCGAUAAACAAGAGGAAGAAGAGGCCAACCGAUCCAGCAGCGAUGGCAGGCGGGGGCAUGGUGGGGGGCGCUUUCUGGGCGACGCGGGCGCUGGAGGUGGUCAAGCGGAACGAUUCCCCGGGCCUAUUGUGGAAGCGCAUCAAGCUCACCACCACCCGCAAGAACAACGCCAAGAAGCGCCUCAAGCGGCUCUGGCAGAAUGAGGCGGUUAUAAGAGCUUGUGGUGCAUCAGCGUCUGACGCGGCUUCCACAGCUGACAAACAACAGUAGCUUGGAGCACAACUGGAGCAGGUCCUGUGACCUACCUAUGCUUGAUAAGCUGAAGCCUUGACUUUGCUGUCCACCCCCAGUGUUUUGAUUUUGCUGUCCUCGGAUUGAAUACUUUCUCCAUCCAGAGGACAACAUCAUUGCUUGUUACCAGCUCGCCACCCCAUUCUUUUUCGAAGCUUGCAAGUUUGGUUAAAGACAUGUUGGAAGAGUCCGGUGCCCAUCAAUGGACCGGAUGCUGCCCCAUGUACUCUCUCAUGUAGUCAUGUGCUGCGUUAACAAAACAUGUGGUGUGUGUGGUGAUGGUACAAGGAAGCACGCAACGGAAUACCAUGCUGCGUGUGCCGACGAAGCAGGACCCGAUUCGAUCCGCUGAUGAACGGGCACACGGCAAGAUACGGCGUCGUAUUUUAUUUUCCUCGUUUCAUAUUUUUUUUAAAAAAAAUUAAUUUUAAUUUCGCUUUUAUAUGCUCUGAUGGAUUGAAACAACAGUUCGGUCAACGCGAACCGUACCGAUAUUGCAUAGGGUCCCACUGUGUAGCACAAUGCUCAUGCUCAGUUCCUGGUGCCCACUGCCAGAGACAGUUUGGCGCGAACGAGCGGAAUCUUUCGGAGACCGCGGAAACCAAACAUGGUUUUGACUUUUGUCAAAUGAGAGGAUGGUUUCUUCUGUAAAACAGCCUGACGACCCGUGAGGCUGGAUUAGCAGCCCUCGUCGCCACCGUGUCAACUAUCCCGUCAAGCUAUCGUAGCUAGCACACAAUCUUUUAGUGUCGGCCUACACGUUAAUGCCGCAUCACAUCACCUUUGUUUUUUUUAUAAAGUACGACAUUUUGUUUAGAAACAAACUCAUGAAGCCGUUAUAUAAUUCAAACAAAAUAAAAAAAUGCAAAUAAAUAAAUAAAAUUAUAUAUUUCAUGAAAAUUACUUGUUAUCAUCGUCAUCAUGGCUCCAUCUCUUUCGCAUUUUCUUUAUCAUCUAGUUUUAAAUGUUUGAUCAAUUGUUUUACAGACAAUGUUUGGACCAUUUUUAUUGUAACAUCUAAAUAGACGGUGGACUGAUCCGGCAACUUGAUAAAGUGCGUGUACAAUUAUAUAUAUAAUGUGAUUUUUAGAUUGAUAAAA